rnacentral:misc_RNA from 1 species
CUGUUCGAGCGUCAUUACAACCCUCAAGCUCUGCUUGGUAUUGGGCGUCACUCUUUGUGGUGCGCCUCAAAAUCAGUGGCGGUGCCACCUGGCUCCUAGUGUAGUAAAAUUUCUCGCUAUAGAGUUAGGUGUUUGCUUGCCAGCAACCAUUAUUUUUAUAGGUUGACCUCGGAUCAGGUAGGGAUACCCGCUGAACUUAA